CAGAAACUUAAAGGAAGUUGACGGGGCCCGCACAAGCGGAGGAGCAUGUGGUUUAAUUCGAUGAUACGCGAGGAACCUUACCUGGGCUCGAACGUAAGAUGACUGUAGGUGAAAGCUUACAUCUCUUCGGAGCAUUUUACGAGGUGCUGCAUGGUUGUCGUCAGCUCGUGCCGUGAGGUGUCGGGUUAAGUCCCAUAACGAGCGCAACCCCUACCUUUAGUUGCCAUCAGGUAAUGCUGGGGACUCUAAAGGAACUGCCUACGCAAGUAGUGAGGAAGGCGGGGAUGACGUCAAAUCAGCACGGCCCUUACGUCCAGGGCUACACACGUGCUACAAUGGCCGAUACAGAGGGCAGCUACCUGGUGACAGGAUGCAAAUCUCCAAAGUCGGUCUCAGUUCGGAUCGGAGUCUGCAACCCGACUCCGUGAAGUUGGAUUCGCUAGUAAUCGCGCAUCAGCCAUGGCGCGGUGAAUACGUUCCCGGGCCUU
rnacentral:rRNA from 1 species